AGAUCAGCUGCCAGGUCCUGCUCCUUGACGGAUCUAGUCUGGUUGCUAGGGGGAUGAGAAAAGGGGGGUCGGGGAAGGGGGAGCAAGGCAAAUAAAUCAGAGCCUGCCACACCCCAAUUCCUGGAGUGGAGAGGGGUACCGUACCAUCCCGUCUGGGCUGGGGUAAGGGGCUGGUAGGUCAGAGAUGAGCUUGUAGAAGCCUGAGUGCCUUGGCGCUUUCUGCAGCAGACCAGGGCUCUGAGCAACUGCUGCCUUUGGUCUGGGGCUCCACCCAGUCCAGCUCUAAGAGCAAAUGAUGGGCCCAGGAGACAAGGCAAGCAGAGGACCAGCACGAACCUUGCACAGGGAGCUGGCGGCAGAGCUGUGCCUUUGAGACAGCUGUGGUAGGGGCUGGGCAGAGCAGGGGAGGUUCUGAGCCCAGAGAGACAGAAAUGAAGUUUCUGUCUCCAUCUGCCCCUUUUGCUUAAGCCCCCAGAUCACUACCAGAAGGCCUUAGAAGAGAGGGGGCCAGAAAGCUAGGAGGGCUCUGUUAGUGUGGACUGAGGGAGGCCAGCCUGUGAGAGGGAUACAGCAAGGCAAAGGCAGAGAAGGUUUCAUUCCUAGUGGGGAGGAGCCAGGCUGGGAGCUCUUGGAGGAGAAAGAGGAGAAGACGUCACAGCUGUCUUGCAGUGAGGAGCUACCUAAGUAUUCUCCUGCUACCAUGCCUCCACAAGAAAAUCAACUUUGUCACAAGCCUGAAAGCAUUGGAACCAGCUGGCCAAAACUCGAUUUUCUCAGGAGAGGGAAAAAUCAUCAUUACAAGGACACAUUCCUCCCCGACCGACCGCUGGCACUUUGCUCUUCAAUUCUCCAGGCUCCGCGCUGAGACAUUUUUCCUUGGCUAAGCCAGCCUGCGUUCACCUUUCCUCACCCGGCUGAAAGCGUCCCAGCUCCUCACAUCUUGGCUCAUGUAUAAAAGAACUCAUCCGAAAGGCUUCCCGAAGGAGUUGGCAAGGGCUGCUCCUGGCUAGGGGUGGCUGCCGGGCAUUGGGGGAAGGGGCUUCAGGCUCUACCAGGUCAUUCCGAAAGCUGAAGGGACCACGUAUGGGCAUUUGAAAAUGUGUUUUCUUUGGGGCAGUUUUAAUGGGAAAUGCAGGCUUGGAAAAUAAACCCCUCAGGUGUUCUGGGGUAUCACGCUAGCUGGAAAUGUAUUUAUCUGGUUCCCAUAACUGGCUGUCCCAUUUUCCCCAGUCAUGCACUGUGGUCAAUACAGAAUGC